UCCUUUUCAACUUCAAAAUGAGAUUUACAUGAUGAAGAAUUCAAAAAAUGAACCUGUAAAUGAAAGGAAAAGAGGUGAAGAAAGCAGUAACAGCAACAUCGCAAUAAUCAGAGAACAAGGCAAGGAUCCAAUUUGGUUUGGUCAAUAGAACAGUAACAGUAGUAGCAGAACUCAAAACCCAAGUCCACUAGCAGAGUAAUCCCAAUAACAAAACCUCAAAAACCAAGCUCUAAGAACACAGACUCAGGCCAUUUAAUUCUA
rnacentral:lncRNA from 1 species